rnacentral:rRNA from 1 species
GACGAACGCUGGCGGCGUGCCUAACACAUGCAAGUCGAGCGAAUGAAGUUCCUUCGGGAAUGGAUUUAGCGGCGGACGGGUGAGUAACACGUGGGCAACCUGCCUCAUAGAGGGGAAUAGCCUCCCGAAAGGGAGAUUAAUACCGCAUAAGAUUGUAGUACCGCAUGAUACAGCAAUUAAAGGAGCAAUCCGCUAUGAGAUGGGCCCGCGGCGCAUUAGCUAGUUGGUGAGGUAAUGGCUCACCAAGGCGACGAUGCGUAGCCGACCUGAGAGGGUGAUCGGCCACAUUUGGACUGAGACACGGCCCAGACUCCUACGGGAGGCAGCAGUGGGGAAUAUUGCACAAUGGGGGAAACCCUGAUGCAGCAACGCCGCGUGAGUGAUGACGGCCUUCGGGUUGUAAGGCUCUGUCUUCAGGGACGAUAAUGACGGUACCUGAGGAGGAAGCCACGGCUAACUACGUG